GAUGAACGCUGGCGGCGUGCCUAAUACAUGCAAGUCGAGCGAACGGACGAGAAGCUUGCUUCUCUGAUGUUAGCGGCGGACGGGUGAGUAACACGUGGAUAACCUACCUAUAAGACUGGGAUAACUUCGGGAAACCGGAGCUAAUACCGGAUAAUAUUUUGAACCGCAUGGUUCAAAAGUGAAAGACGGUCUUGCUGUCACUUAUAGAUGGAUCCGCGCUGCAUUAGCUAGUUGGUAAGGUAACGGCUUACCAAGGCAACGAUGCAUAGCCGACCUGAGAGGGUGAUCGGCCACACUGGAACUGAGACACGGUCCAGACUCCUACGGGAGGCAGCAGUAGGGAAUCUUCCGCAAUGGGCGAAAGCCUGACGGAGCAACGCCGCGUGAGUGAUGAAGGUCUUCGGAUCGUAAAACUCUGUUAUUAGGGAAGAACAUAUGUGUAAGUAACUGUGCACAUCUCGACGGUACCUAAUCAGAAAGCCACGGCUAACUACGUGCCAGCAGCCGCGGUAAUACGUAGGUGGCAAGCGUUAUCCGGAAUUAUUGGGCGUAAAGCGCGCGUAGGCGGUUUUUUAAGUCUGAUGUGAAAGCCCACGGCUCAACCGUGGAGGGUCAUUGGAAACUGGAAAACUUGAGUGCAGAAGAGGAAAGUGGAAUUCCAUGUGUAGCGGUGAAAUGCGCAGAGAUAUGGAGGAACACCAGUGGCGAAGGCGACUUUCUGGUCUGUAACUGACGCUGAUGUGCGAAAGCGUGGGGAUCAAACAGGAUUAGAUACCCUGGUAGUCCACGCCGUAAACGAUGAGUGCUAAGUGUUAGGGGGUUUCCGCCCCUUAGUGCUGCAGCUAACGCAUUAAGCACUCCGCCUGGGGAGUACGACCGCAAGGUUGAAACUCAAAGGAAUUGACGGGGACCCGCACAAGCGGUGGAGCAUGUGGUUUAAUUCGAAGCAACGCGAAGAACCUUACCAAAUCUUGACAUCCUUUGACAACUCUAGAGAUAGAGCUUUCCCCUUCGGGGGACAAAGUGACAGGUGGUGCAUGGUUGUCGUCAGCUCGUGUCGUGAGAUGUUGGGUUAAGUCCCGCAACGAGCGCAACCCUUAAGCUUAGUUGCCAUCAUUAAGUUGGGCACUCUAAGUUGACUGCCGGUGACAAACCGGAGGAAGGUGGGGAUGACGUCAAAUCAUCAUGCCCCUUAUGAUUUGGGCUACACACGUGCUACAAUGGACAAUACAAAGGGCAGCGAAACCGUGAGGUCAAGCAAAUCCCAUAAAGUUGUUCUCAGUUCGGAUUGUAGUCUGCAACUCGACUACAUGAAGCUGGAAUCGCUAGUAAUCGUAGAUCAGCAUGCUACGGUGAAUACGUUCCCGGGUCU
rnacentral:rRNA from 1 species